rnacentral:rRNA from 1 species
AGCGAACGCUGGCAGCAGGCUUAACACAUGCAAGUCGAACGGGUAUCUUCGGAUACUAGUGGCAGACGGGUGAGUAACACGUGGGAACGUACCUUUCGGUUCGGAAUAAUACAGGGAAACUUGUACUAAUACCGGAUAAGCCCUUCGGAGGAAAGAUUUAUCGCCGAUAGAUCGGCCCGCGUCUGAUUAGCUAGUUGGUG